UACGUAGGGUGCGAGCGUUAAUCGGAAUUACUGGGCGUAAAGCGCGCGUAGGCGGAUAUUUAAGUCAGAUGUGAAAUCCCUGGGCUAACCUAGGAACUGCAUUUGAAACUGGAUAUCUAGAGUAUGGUAGAGGUGAGUGGAAUUUCAGGUGUAGCGGUGAAAUGCGUAGAGAUCUGAAGGAACAUCAGUGGCGAAGGCGACUCACUGGGCCAUUACUGACGCUGAGGUGCGAAAGCGUGGGUAGCAAACAGG
rnacentral:rRNA from 1 species